GAGUUUGAUCUUGGCUCAGAAUGAACGUUGGCGGCGUGCCUAACACAUGCAAGUCGAGCGAGAAAGUUCCUUCGGGAAUGAGUACAGCGGCGGACGGGUGAGUAACACGUAAGAAUCUGCCCUAUAGUGAGGAAUACCCUUGAGAAAUUGAGGUUAAUACUGCAUAAGUCCCUGCGGGGAGAAGGACGUCUUUUAUGUCGUCGCUAUAGGAUGAGCUUGCGGACUAUCAGCUUGUUGGUGAGGUAAAGGCUCACCAAGGCUAUGACGGUUAACCGGCCUGAGAGGGUGUACGGUCACAUAGGCACUGAGAUACGGGCCUGACUCCUACGGGAGGCAACAGUGGGGAAUAUUGCGCAAUGGGCGAAAGCCUGACGCAGCGACGCCGCGUGGAGGAUGAAGGUCUUCGGAUUGUAAACUCCUGUCAGAUGGGAAGAAAGGUUUAUGUUUAAUAGACGUAAAAUAUGACGGUACCAUCAGAGGAAGCACCGGCUAACUUCGUGCCAGCCGCCGCCGUAAC
rnacentral:rRNA from 1 species